GUGCGCCUUGAGCCUUUGAUAACUGUGGCACCUUGUAUUAAUUCAUUUCUCAAACAAAAGAUAUUGGAAGCGAAGGAAGAAAUUGCAUCAGAUUAAGCUAAAAGAGAAUAUGUGGAAAAAAAAAAUAUAUAUUACAAAAAGUAGUCAGCCAACUUUGUAAUGAUUAUUGAAUUCCCACAUGCUGAGAAAAUAUCCUCCUCCUUUUUCCAUCCACGUGAAGGAUUUUUUUUCUGAGCAAGUCAUUGUAGAUAAAUCUACCAUUAUGAAAUUAUUUGCCAUCACCAUGCAAUUGCUUGACUAGUUUUUUCCUAAAUUUGAAAUUAUCCCGUCACAAAAUUCUACUUUGAUAUCCCAUAAAAGAUUUAAAAUAUAUAAUCUAACCACAUUAAGAAAAAGAUAGAAUUAAUAUGAAUUUAUUUAACAUUAUUAUUGGAAUUGAGGUUAAAAAUAUUUUUUUAAAACACAUUAAUUAAAAAUAUUAAUAUAAAUUAAAAUUAAAUAAUAUAUUUUCAAUUAUAAGGCAGAGCUUCUUUUUAUUCCAGACUUAACUUGCAUGAAAAGACACCAUUCAGAUAGGAAAGAAAUUAAAAAUAACUAAUUUGAUCAAUGACUUAUUCAGACUUUAUUUAUUCUAAGUGGAUUGGUAGAUGAAUGUCAGACCAGAUUAAGUAAGAUGGCGAACUUGAACUUUUACGUAUAUUGAAAUGCGUAAAUGGUGAUACUAAACUCAACUCAACUAAUCCUUUAUCCCAAGAAUUUGGGGCAUUUGAAUCCAUAUCAUGAGGUG
rnacentral:misc_RNA from 1 species